CCCCUCCUCUUCUCUCUGCCCUCUAUUUUUCUUCCCUUUUCUUUCUUUUCGUCCAUCGUCCAUUCCAGUUCGACAAUCGAAGAGAGGUAACAACAAAGAUGGACAAUCUUCUCAUUGUUUGAGGGAUUGUAAUCGGACCUUGUUCUAAACUAGAGGUUCCAGCAAUAAGGUGAAUUUUUGAGGCAAUGGAGCGAUCCAAUAAUCAUGUAACCUCAGCUCUUUCACUUUAAGAGAUUAUGCAACGUGCUCGUGCACGCGAAGAACAGGAGGUCGAGGGUUGAAAAUCAAAGUGUUUUCUUUGUACCGGGAUGAAGACAUUUUGGGGACACUGCACGAUUGAGCAUCUAUAUAUUUGAGUUCAUUUACGCUGUUGAGGUUAAUUUAAAGAGGGGUGGGCAGUUAAAU